rnacentral:rRNA from 1 species
AUACGGAGGGUGCAAGCGUUGUUCGGAAUCACUGGGCGUAAAGGGCGCGCAGGCGGUUUGGUAAGUCAGAUGUGAAAGCCCACGGCUCAACCGUGGAAGUGCAUUUGAAACUGCCAGACUUGAGUACCAGAGGGGAGAGUGGAAUUCCCGGUGUAGAGGUGAAAUUCGUAGAUAUCAGGAGGAAUACCGGUGGCGAAGGCGACUUUCUGGCUGGAUACUGACGCUGAGGCGCGAAAGCGUGGGGAGCAAACAGGAUUAGAAACCCUAGUAGUCC